rnacentral:rRNA from 1 species
UACAGGGGGUGCAAACGUUGCUCGGAAUUAUUGGGCGUAAAGCGCGCGUAGGCGGCUACUUAAGUCGGAUGUGAAAGCCCCUGGCUCAACUGGGGAAGUGCACCCGAAACUGAGUAGCUAGAGUGCAAAAGAGGGUCGCGGAAUUCCCGGUGUAGAGGUGAAAUUCGUAGAUAUCGGGAGGAACACCGGUGGCGAAGGCGGCGACCUGGUUUGACACUGACGCUGAGGCGCGAAAGCGUGGGGAGCAAACAGG